UGUACGGCGAGCCUAAGGCCUAGCGGGCCGGAGGCGGAGCGAAAGCGAGUCUGAAUAGGGCGUUGAGUCGUACGGGCUAGACGCGAAACCUUGUGAUCAACCCUCGAGCAGGCUGAAGUGCGGGUAAAACCGCAUGGAGGGCCGAACGGGUGACCGUUGAAAAGGUCUCCGAUGACUUGAGGGGAGGAUUAAAAGUAUAAUCAAACUGGGAGAUAGCUCGUUCUCUCCGAAAUAACUUUAGGGUUAGCCUCGGGUGGCAAGCGAUGGGGGUAGAGCUACUGGAUGAGGCGUCGGGCCUAACCGGCUACGACCCUCAACCAAACUCCGAAUACCAUUGCCCAAGACCCGGGAGAUAGACGGUGAGUGACAAUAUCCAUCGUCAAAAGGAGAACAAUCCAGACCACCAGCUAAGGUCCCGAAUCUACGCUUAGUUCGAAAGGAAGUCAGAUUGCAGUGACAGCCGGGAUGUUGGCUUAGAAGCAGCCACCAUUUAAAGAGUGCGUAACAGCUCACCGGUCGAGGAGUCUGGCGCCGAUAAUGAUCGGGAAUAAGCGUGGAGCCGAAGCUGUGGGCCCAGCAGCAAUGCUGGGCGGUAGGAGAGCGUAGUUGAUGCUGUGAAGCGGCUCGGGAACGGGUCGUGGAGCGUCCACUAGUGCAUAUGCCGGCUUAAGUAACGAUUAACACGGUGAAAAUCCGUGUCGCCGAAUGCCUAAGGUUUCCUGGGGAAGGUAAAUCCGCCCAGGGUUAGCCGGGUCCUAAGGUGAGGCCGAAAGGCGUAGCCGAUGGAAAUCAGGUCAAUAUUCCUGAGCCAAUGCCCAAUAUGGUGACGGAUCUCCAAGAUCUGCGGGACUGCUAGAUGUCCAGGCCCUCGAGGCCGAUGCAGGUGGAGGAGGUCACGAGAAAAACCGGGCGUGCCCGUACUAAAACUGACACAGGUAGGCGAGGCGAAUAGCCUCAGGCGCUCGAGAGAACGGUCGUGAAGGAACUAGGCAAUUUAACCCCGUACGUUCGCAAGAAGGGGGCCCUCGUCGUCAGACAGGGCGCAGAGAAAAGGGUCUGGGAACUGUUUAUCAAAAACACAGCUCUGUGCUAACUCGGAAGAGGAUGUAUACAGAGUGACGCUUGCUCAAUGCCGGAAUGUCACGGAAGCGGGUCAUCGCAAGAGAAGCCCGCGACUCAAGCACCGGUGAAUAGCGGCCGUAACUAUGACGGUCCUAAGGUAGCGAAGUUCCUUGUCGGGUAAGUUCCGACGCGCAUGAAUAGCGUAAUCACUGGACUCCUGUCUCCACGACCGACUCGGUGAAAUAGUAGUGGCGGUGAAGAUGCCGUCUACCCGCAGCAAGACGGAAAGACCCCGUGGACCUUCACUAUAGGCAUGCGCUGGUCACGAGCACGAACUGCGUAGCAUAGGUGGGAGGCUUUGAAGUUCCCGUUUCGGCGGGAAUGGAGCCAACAAGUGAAAUACCACCCUGUUUAUGUUUGUGGCCUAACUUCGAUUCCCGUGAAUCCGGGCGAAGAACACCGUGUGUUGGGUAGUUUGACUGGGGCGGUCUCCUCCCAAAGAGUAACGGAGGAGUGCAAAGGUCGGCUCAGCACGGAUGGAAACCGUGCCCUGCGUGCAAGAGCACAAGCCGGCUUUACUGCGAGACCGACGGGUCGAGCAGUUACGAAAGUAGGCUCUAGUGAUCCUGCGAUCCCGUGUGGAAGGGUCGUAGCUCAUCGGAUAAAAG
rnacentral:rRNA from 1 species